AAUAGUUUGCACGCUAAUACAGAUUUAGACACUUGUACGAUAGUAAUAGAAAUGUAAUGCGCAACUAUAAAACAGCGACACGUACAGACUCGGCGCGUGCACUGCCUAUACGUGGAUAUUAAAAUCAAGUCAGAGAUUUAGCAAUUGUCUUAAUAGUUUUUAACACGCUCAAAUUUAUAUGCAAAAUUGGCUGGAAAGUGUGAAAAUUAUAAAUCGCAUCUUUGGAAUAUAUUCUAUAGUGAAAGCUGAAUUUAACGCUGUUCUUAACUGGCUUUGUGCUUUCAUGUGUGAUUGAGGCUUAGUGCCAUUGUGGAAUAAUCAGCUGAUAUGUGCUUGUCAUAAAGACAUCAAAAAAGGUAAACAAUGCUGACAUGAGAUGUAGGAAUCACUAGAACCAGCAGGAAAUUUUUUGGAACAGAAGUAAUCGCUCGUAGAAAGUUAACAUCAUCAUUUGAUUUCAUCAACAUUUAGUAAGUCAUCAUCAAAUCACUAGAUGCAAAUUUGCACGAGUAUAAAAAGUGAAAUGCGUCGUAAUACCGUGUUAUAUGAAUAUUACGUAAGAAAUGGCCUUUGUAUCCCGACUGCCGAUUUCAGCAAAAACACAUAAAAUGUAUAGGAUCCAGUUCACAGAUAUAGUGAGUGAAAACGUCUUUUUUGAGCGAAGCUCCCUGAGAUCAGCUGUAGUACCUUUCAAAAUAAAUAUUUUUCCUAAUACUAAGUCUUAAAAUACAGUUAAAAUAUACAAUAUGUGUACAAAUUUUUGGAUCAAUAAAUUUAAGUUUUCGGCGAGCUAGCCUUUGGAUGGAUAAAAUCCGGGUAAAUUCCGGUAAUGUAGAGCCGGCUAUCUUCGGAAACCCUACUCAUCUGAAACCCCGUCGAAACAGCGCGUUUCCUGUGCCUACCGUUGGUUGACCUCGAUGACAACUUAUCUAAACCUCACCACCCUAACGGGGACUAGAUAACCGUAACAACAACAACAACUACUACUAAGAACUACACGACUAGCUAAUGAACCAAAAGAUAAUGGUGCCUUCCAGCGAGUUAUGUUUAGCUAAGAAUCGCCAUCGAUCAGAUGGAAAGACCACUGUAGCGGCAGAAUUACAACCAGCUACACCAACAACACAUAUCAUCACUGUACUCAACUUAAAAUUCAUUGAUCAUAUGGUAUAAUUCUACUUGGUACACAUGUAUGUAUAUAUCAAUCAAUUAGAAGGAUUUAUGUUGUUUUAUAUACUUUUAUAAACAAAUUUAUCUACAAAAGCCCAACAAUUUUUUUUAGUGCAUUGACAUUUGUAUUACCGAAUUUUUUUUACUUAAACGCGAUAAGAUAUUGUGCAAAAAAAGAAGAACCGUCUAAUCAAGGUGACAUUUAUUUUGCCUAGUCAUGGUCUGGUCUGCGCAGUCACACAAAAAAUACAAUACAAAAUACAAAAAUGCGAAAAAUAUAAAAAUACAGUGUAUACAAUAGAUUGAAAUAUGUAUGUAUGUAUCUAUCAAAACUAAAAACAUACAAAUUUACUAUAAUAGUAAUAUGAAAUAAAAAAAAAAUCAAGAACAUUUUUUUUUAUUUCACAUUAGAAUUGUCCCCUUACAGUCACAGUUUAACUUUAGAGGUUUUUCUUAAAACUUUAUAAAAUUGUGUUAGGCAGUUAUGUUAUGCAUACGUACAUAUUUUAAUCAUCUGUAUUAUUUGAUAAGAUUAUCAAAUUUGCGUUAUAAAUAACGAAAGCUAUUAUAAUGGAAAAAUAUUUAUAUCAUAAAUUCAGAGAUAAUAAUCAAUGGCAAAACAAAGAAUGCACAA